rnacentral:rRNA from 1 species
UACGUAGGGGCCGAGCGUUGUCCGGAGUUACUGGGCGUAAAGCGCGCGCAGGCGGCCGGCCAAGUCUGGCGUGAAAGCCCCCGGCUCAACCGGGGAGGGUCGCCGGAGACUGGUCGGCUUGAGUGCGGCAGGGGUCGGUGGAAUUCCCGGUGUAGUGGUGAAAUGCGUAGAGAUCGGGAGGAACGCCCGUGGCGAAGGCGGCCAUCUGGACCAGCACUGACACUGAGGCACGAAAGCUAGGGGAGCGAAUGGG